GACAAGAUCACGUUUUUGGCAUCGCAUGUUGGCUUCAUUGACGAUCUUGAUGCCCUGUUAGAUUGUAUUAGAAAACUCUCAAGUGAGGAAUUCAAGAGAGACACCACUCAAGCAGUGAGUGAGUUCCUAGUUAAAAGGUCCAACAGUAGCUUAACUAGUGCACAGCCUGCUUAUUCUGUAGCAUCCAAGUCUUGUUCCGUUCAAAACCAGAGAACCUUGUCAAAGGAUAUUUGUGCGGAUUCUCCUGCCUUUGGCAUCAUUGACACAUUUGUGGAAGACCUGCAGAGCUUGGCGCAACCUGCAGAAGUAGAGGAGAGAGAUCCUGACCUCCAGGAAAAUGCACAAAAGCGAAAGAGCAGGAUCUGGUCUGCUACCACUAGUUUAUAUAAAAAUAUUAAGAAGACAUUAAAGGGCUUCACCAUUCACCGGCGGAGGUCAGACGUGCAGAGAAGAACUUCUAGCCAUACACCCACAGAGGACUCUGGACAUCUUGUGACUAAGGAGUACCUUGGUUUGGCAAGCCAGAACUUGACGCAAGCUAGUAAGAGUGUGCCUCACUUGCCCAGUUUGAACCAGGAAGUGACUCUACACACGGGUGUCAGCGAGAGUUCAAAACUUCUCUUGACUGAAACAGACGAGGGUCUAAUGAACAAUAGUACCAAACAGGUCAUUUCAACAAUCUUGACCUCAUGCGAGGAUCAGAUAUCAAAUGCACCUUGCUUCUCCACAGUAGGAAAGAAAAUAUCUGAUAUGUCCCUUGAGGUCAACAUAUUGGUAGGUGGUGUUCUGUCUCAGCUGAAAGACAUCUCCUUGUCAAGGUCCCCAACACCAUGUGAAGACAUGUUUGAACGUCUCCAAGGUUCUACUGAGCGAACCUCUCCAGUAAGUCUAGAUUGCAGCACGGCUACCUCCAAAGGCAUUGCAUCUUCCCACAGUCUUUCAACAAAGAGCCUCCAAAAACUUUCUAGUCAUGAGUUCCAAACCAAAGCUGAGAAAGGAGUGAGUGAGGUCCUCUCUAGGUCAUUUAACAUUGUGGAGGAAGGUACAACAGAUAAGUACCUCCAGUCUGUAUCUACAUCCACCACAUCUACUGAUAUUAUACAAACCAUAGUGAAAGAUCUGCAGGAGCUCAGCCAGACCACCCAAUCAUCUGACAUGGUAUCUGGAACCUCCCUGCUCACCACAGGUUUCUGAGAAAAGAAUCUGGUCUGUUGCUCGUAACAUCUACUACAGUCUGCAAAGUAAGAUUACGGAGUUUCUCAGAAAAGAUCUUCAAACGUCAGACACAACACUUGGUUCAAUCCAAAUAUUUACAUAUCAAAGCAGUCCUGCUUCACAAAGAGCAAGUCUCGGCCAUCUUGAGGUCAACCAGAGCAGUGUUACACCUGGUGGAAACGAUGCCUGUGUGGACAUUCCGCACAAAUUACUACCUAAAACCACUAAGCUCUCAGGAUCCAUGCUGGAGGAUAUUGGCACGAUCCGUUGUAGGAGUGCUGACAGCCAAAAUACAAGAAAUACCUCUUCUUCACGCUCCUCCAUCUCUCUAACACCUACUUCAAAAUCAAAGCAGUCAGAAUGGGACUUCACCUUGCCCGGUACUCCCAUCCCCACUGAAUUAUCUGCUCAGAUUGACUUUCCCAUUGUAAGAAACAUGAUCAUUCAGGACUUGUUUCACACAGAGAACUUACUUCCCCCAUCCUUUGUGGACAAAGUCAGGCAAGCUGCUGGGGUGGUAGUGGACGAAAUGGUGGAAAGUGUUGAGAACACACAGGAAGAUGGACAGGGUGCUUCUCAUCCUGACGACCUCCGAUCUGCUGUUAGGAAAUUGAGAAAAAUAAUUUCCACUGGGACCAUCCACAUUUUCAGUCAUGAAUUUGUGGAUAAAGUGAUAGCCCUUCAGGACAGCCACAGCACUCCACAGGUCUUAACAUUGGCAGCAGCCAGAAGUGCUUCAGACUCCAUUCUUUCAAGGCUGAAAUGGGGAAAGGAACAAUGUGACAUAUCCAGGAAGCUCUCCUCUCAGCUUCUCCAGAUAUUUUCUGAAGAGACAGUGAAGGGCUUCCUAAAACAGUGGUUAGAUGAGUAUGAAAAUAUAAACAUUGAUGUUUCAGUCCAGAAUGAACCAAGCACCUCUACUUGCAUGGUCUUUCCUAUCCAGCUCAAUCAGAGCAAGCCAGAGGAUAGUGACACAAUGAAUCAGCUCACGAAGGUCAUGGUCAACAAAAUGAUGGAUGCCUUAUCAGUUGGCUCAAGUCAUCAAAUGAUCACCAAAGCCAAUGCCAAAUGUUCUUUUGAGUCCGGUACCAGCAUGGCCACCAGUGACAUUGUAGAAGGGAUGUUGGAUUUGGUAAGGGAUAGCACCAGCAGUACUGGAGAGCAGAUCCCCAUCUUCAAGUCCAAGAAAAGCAAGAAAACCAUGUUCAGCAAGAUAUGCUUUAACAUAAAGGGUUCCAAGAAAGUUAGAAAGGACCACUGUCCUCAAAAGUCUAUGGAGUACCAGCCUCAGAACACUUCCCCUACUGUGUACUUUACAGAGUCGAGGACAAAUUCUCAUGGCUCCUUUGCUCCAGAGGGAAAUGACAUCGCAUAUUCCUUCCCACCUGAAGAGAAGAGUCGCAAACCCUCCCUUUUCACCAGAAUAUAUAGAGCCAUCACUAGAAGCUUCUCCAACCCAAGAUAAUUUUCCUCAUUAAAUGAGAUUGCAUUCAUUUGUUGUCAUAUGUUGACUGUUUUGCUAGCACAGACUGUAAUAUGUUCUGCGAUUCAUCCACAUGCAUUGAGGAGUAUACCACCUCAGUCACAGGCUACAUCAAUAAGUGGAUUGACAACGUCGUGCCCACAGUGACCGUAUGUACAUAUCCCCGACAGAAGCCAUGGAUUACAGGCAACAUCCACACCGCGCUAAAGGCUAGAGCUGCUUCUUUCAAGGAGCGGGACACUAAUCCAGACACUUAUAUGAAAUCCUGCUAUGCCCUCAGACUAACCAUCAAAUAGGCAAAGUGGUUGGUUAGGUCAGGGUGUGACUAGUGUGCUGUCAUCCUGUUAGAAGGUAACAGAUUAUUUUAUUACAAUGGUUAAAUUGGAUUUUCAUUGUGUUCAAUGGUGUUAUUUGCCCCCUAGUGGCGCUUUCUGGUACUUAGAAAGACGACGCAAACAGGAAGUUCAGAAUUUGUUUUGCACGCAUAGAAGCAGCUACAAACAACGCUACGGUGCAGGUCUUUCAAUGUAGUUAUUUCUUGUCACGCUUCAGCCUUGGAAAAAUAUUUGUUUGUAAGUUCGAUUCAAGCAUUUAGCUAAUGAUGAUAAUCUUGUUAUUGAUAGAGUUGCUUACAUAUCAAUGUUGAUUGCAUUUACUCACAAAUUGCAAUGCCUUUAAUGUAUGUCGAUAGCUGUAUUACUUUGCUCAUGCGUCAUGCAAACGAAUUGUAAAAUAUACAAUACUGUAGUUUUGUUACUGUUUCUAGUGUAAUAUGCUUUGUUAUUCUACAUAGAUGGUUAUACAUUAUUAGAGUAAUGAAAGGAGCCAAUUACCAUAUGGUUAACAAUUAGCUAUAUGGUUUGGCAUCAUGCCAGAUGCAUGGUACCUUAGCGCGUGCUUUGUAUUUAUGCAACUUCAAAUGUUUAAUGUACAGCUACAGUAUGUCGGUGUGAAUUGAACACUAAAGUAUAUUCUUUUCUGUAUUUUGCAGUUUCACAACAUAAACGUUUUCAAUAUAUUAAUUCAAGAAAAGUCACGCCUUGGGAGUUUUAUUGAAGACUUAGUUGUUAGCUAUCUGUCUAGUUUUGCAUGGUGUUGAUAGUGGGAUAUGUAGAUAGGGCGAGUCGGUCAAGGAUCGAUUCGGACAAGGUGGUCAAUUAUAUGACAAGCGACAGUUUAUUCAGAGUAAAGAUAUCUGGUACAACGUAUACGGGCUCAUUCAUUUGGAAAACCAUCAGAAAGAGCCCCGAUAACAGAUUGUAAGCAUGUUAAGUACAGUACAAAAAGUGGGUUGAGUCUGAAAGUCUCUGGCUUUUGAUUGGCCACAGUUGAGGUGUUGUCUUCUUGGAUUGGUCCUGUUGAGCCGUCCGUCGUUCCUCCGGGUCUCGUCCUCAGUCACACAAUGUUCGGCUAGAAAGGAGAUUAGGUGUGUGCGCUGUCCUCAGUCACACAAUGUCCGGCUAGAAAGGAGAUUAGGUGUGUGCGCUGGUUCCUGUCUAAAAGGGAGGAUUUAGGUGUGUGUGUGUGCUGGUUUGUUCCUGUUACCCAAGGUCGGGAGUGUCAGUGCAGCUGGGGUUUGUCACGAGAUACUGUUAUCAGUGCUCAGUUGUAAGCCAGAGAGUUACAACAGCUUCAUUAUUAAUAAGGCUAAUAUAUUGCCAGGCAUGC